AUUAACCUUCAGUAACGGCGAAGUGAAGCGGUAACAGCUUCAAAUUUGAAAAUCUGGCCCUUUUAGGGUCGAGUUGUAAUUUGUAGAGGCUGCUUUUGGGCGUGGCUCCGGUCUAAGUUCCUUGGAGGAGGACGUCAUAGAGGGUGAGAGUCCCGUAUGUGACUGGUAGCUUUCGCCCGUGUAAAGCUCUUUCGACGAGUCGAGUUGUUUGGGAAUGCAGCUCAAAAUGGGUGGUAAAUUUCAUCUAAAGCUAAAUAUUGGCCAGAGACCGAUAGCGCACAAGUAGAGUGAUCGAAAAGAUGAAAAAGCACUUUGGAAAGAGAGUUAAACAGUACGUGAAAAUUGUUGAAAAGGGAAAGCGCUUGCAACCAGACUCGCAGGCCGUCGAUCAUCUCAGGUUCUCCUGGGUGCACUCGGCGGUCUUCGGGCCAGCAUCGGUUUGGGUGGUGGGAUAAAGGCCUUGGGAAUGUAGCUUCUUUCGGGGAGUGUUAUAGCCCUCGGUGCAAUGCCGCCUACCCGGACCGAGGACCGCGCUUCGGCUAGGAUGCUGGCGUAAUGGUUGUAAGCGACCCGUCUUGAAACACGGACCAAGGAGUCUAACAUCUAUGCGAGUAUUUGGGUGUUAAACCCAUAUGCGUAAUGAAAGUGAACGGAGGUGAGAACCCUUAAGGGUGCAUCAUCGACCGAUCCUGAUGUCUUCGGAUGGAUUUGAGUAAGAGCAUAGCUGUUGGGACCCGAAAGAUGGUGAACUAUGCCUAAAUAGGGUGAAGCCAGAGGAAACUCUGGUGGGAGGCUCGCAGCGGUUCUGACGUGCAAAUCGAUCGUCAAAUUUGGGUAUAGGGGCGAAAGACUAAUCGAACCAUCUAGUAGCUGGGUCCUGCCGA
rnacentral:rRNA from 1 species